CUUGUGCUCUGUAUCUCUAACAUACAUCACGGUGUUUAUAUAUUACAAGGUAUAUAACAUAUACAUGGAGAUAUAACAAAGUGCUAUUAGCAAACAUAAAGGUGUAUGACAUCGUUCGUGUUCUGUGUAAUUUUCAAGGGGUGAAGUCACAUCAUCGUGUGCCAGGGGUGAAGCCACACCAUCGUGUGCCAGGGGUGAAGCCACACCGUCGUGUGCCAGGGGUGAAGUCACACCAUCGUGUGCCAGGGGUGAAGCCACACCAUCGUGUGCCAGGGGUGAAGUCACACCGUCGUGUGCCAGGGGUGAAGCCACACCAUCGUGUGCCAGGGGUGAAGCCACACCAUCGUGUGCCAGGGGUGAAGCCACACCAUCGUGUGCCAGGGGUGAAGCCACACCAUCACUAGGAUGGAGACUCAUCACCACCAGGAAGGAGUCACAUCAGUAUCAGGAGGGAGCCACAUUAACAGUAGGGUGACCAUUCUGCCUCGACAUAGGCCGUCCAAGGCACUCAGCGAGGAAGAAAAUGAUGACGUCUUCAGCCUACUCCAGCCUGGCUGUGAGGCCAAGGCGACUGGGGUGGUGCAAGUAUUCUCCACAGUGCCGCCUCACCAUAACACCUGGACCAAGAUGACUGCCGGUGUCAUCACCUUCACCAGAGACAGCACAAAAAGAUCCUUCUACAUUCAGGUGUACGACAUCGUAGAGAGGGUCAAGGUGUUCGAACAAGAGAUUUACAGAGAGUUCGAAUACAGCAACUCUGUUUCCUUUUUCCACCAGUUCGAAAGUGAGGAAAGGAUGAUAGGUCUCAACUUCUCUGACGAUGACGAUGCUCUCAACUUCAGUAACGCCGUCACCAGUCUUCUCACCAGCAGGAGGCUCAAGAGGGAAGAGCGAAGACGGCAGAUAAUGGCACAACAACAACAAAAACUGUCUUCAGGGUUGGGUCAACCACAGCAGCAGCAGCAGGAACAACAACAACACGUGCAACAACAACAAAUACAACAGAAGCAACACGAGCAUAAGCAUAAAGAAAGGAAAAUAUUUAAAGGAAUAGCGACAAGACGAGAAAAGAAGAAAUAUAGAAAGUCGAUGAUAGGAGGUCCCUUUGAUUUCCAACACAUCAGCCACGCUGGCUUUGACAUCAACAAAACUUUCUCCACCUUUAAUGUUGAUGAGGAACUUCAACACCUGUUUGCUGCAGUUGGGCUGGAUCAGAGCAAGAUGGCUGACGACGACACCCGCAAUUUUGUCUACGACUUCAUAGAGAAACACGGGGGAAUGGAGGAGGCGAAGAAGGCCAGUAGGAAAUACUCCACCAGGCGCGUGUUAGACAACAACAGCAGUGCUCCUGGAGGUGUCAAACAAGGUCAUCGUGAUGGUAGGAGAGGUCACCGUCUUACGCCACCCUCCCGUGCUACUGCUCCAAAUACCGCACCUCCCCCUCCACCUCCACCUCCACUUCCACCUCCUCGAGGUCCUCCGCCCUCUCCGUCGGGAGUGCUGAGUGAAACACUGUUAGUGUCUGCCCACCGUCACGAUCACUCAGUCUCCCCACCAAAAGAACCUGCCCCUCAGCUGCCUAUGGGUGCUACAGUACCUCCACUACCACCACCACCCAUGCCCAGAGGUAUACCAAUUCCUCCUCCACCACCUAUUCCAAAGAGCAACAGUGCAAUACCGCCACCACCACCCAUGCCGAAAAGCAGUGAAACCUCUUCACUACUCUCAUCCAGCUACUUCGUGCCCCCACCACCACCACUGCCAUCAUCCAAGAGGUCAGUUAUACCUCCUCCACCACCCCUGCCUCCAUCGAGUACACACCAUUCCCAGCAGGGUAGAGACUCCCAUGCGCCACAGGACCCACGUUCUGCACUCCUCGAGCAGAUUCGUAGCGGCAAGCCUCUCAAUAAGGUGGAGCAGCGGCCGGCUGGCAUAUCCACUCAGACUGACUGUAGAGCUCAGCUCCUCGAUGACAUCAAGAAUGGCGCCUUCAGGCUGCAGAAGGUAUCACCGUCGGAGAGUGAGAGUAAGGCAGACGAGCCACUAGGGUUGGAAGGUAUCGCUCUGGACCUGCACAGAGCACUGCAGGAGCGAGCACAGUUCAUCCAUUCUGACAAUAACUCUGAUACUGACGAAGACGUCGACGAUGACGAUGAUGACAGCGACUGGGACACAGAAUGUUAAUGAGGUGCUGGUGGAAUGAGGCAGCAUUCCACUCGACCAACACUUCGAGCUGGACAAAGAUGACGGUGAUUGAAACGUCUGCCGCAGCAAUAUGGGAUUAUUAUGCCCAGAAAAAAGCGCAAAAUCCGUAGGGAUCAUCACCGCUGCUGCGGUGAAGGCUCUUCGUAUCUGCAAGAAUGAAUUAUAAGAAUGCUGGUUCAUCGAACAAGUCUUUUCCAAACUUCUCUUCCCUCAACACUUCAUAAAAUAUUACAAACGUCGUGCACAAAAUAUUAACUCGUCCAGAAAAUACACCACUGAACGAAGAUAAGUGGUAUUCCCUAAUAACUCUGUUAUCAAUCAUGUCUCCAAUACUCUCACAACUCCAAAUUCCAAGUUCACGCCAACACUUCAAUAACAUUCGAUUAAUUACAAGAAAGUGCUAAAUUUUCAAAGAGGACACCCAGAGGUGAAGAAUUCUAGACUCUGCUCCCUUAGGUAUUUCCAACAUUUUCAUCCAAAACACCGGUUUCUAUAAUAUAACUGAGCCUCAUGCCAUGAGACCUCGUACCACUGCAGUGACCCGUUAUCAUGCUACUGCAGUGACCUACCGACCUCUCACCACUACAGUGACUAGCACACCACCUACCUCCCUGUGCUGUCCUAUAUAUACUCAGUUUUCCUGUCUAAGUUUAUGUUUGAUUUGCUAAAGCUCACUGUAUGGACGAAAUAUCGCAAAUAAAGGAUGAUAUUAAACCA